rnacentral:lncRNA from 1 species
CAUCUUGAGUUUUCUGAGAGCGUCUCAGAUCUGAAACUCCUCCUCCUACUUUCCAUCUAUGGAAGAGUCCAAAUCAAGAAGGAGGCACCUGAUCAACCAUCAAAGAAGGAUCAGCGUAGUACUAGCAUACUGUGCUGAUUUCCUGAAGUAGGACUUCUGAUCGAGAUUCGUGGGCUCGUGUGGAUGACUCCUAGAGGCCGGAUGCAUGUGCGGCUUACAACAUCAUCCUCAAGCCCAGAUCAGUGAGGUUAGAAUGUCUAACUUGCAAGGUAAUAGAUCUGAUCUAUUGUUUAAUACAUACAUUAGAUGUAAUAUAGAAACAUGUUGAUAUCAUCAACAUAUAGUUCAUGCUAUAUUUAUAUAUUUUAAUUUUUGAUUUAAUAUUAUAUAAUAAUUAUAUAAUAAGAUCUUAGAUCUAGAAAUUUUCUGAUUUUAGAAAAUAAUUUUGAUUUAUUUUAGUCUUCCGCUGUAUGAUCUUGAAAAAGUUUUAAGAUCUAACCCUGAAACCCU